rnacentral:rRNA from 1 species
GUCUAUAGCCAUACCACGCUGAACGCACCCAAUCUCAUUUGAUCUUGAAAGCUAAGCAGGGUUGGGCCUGGUUAGUACUUAGAAGGGAGAAAUACUGGGGUUGCCAUUU